UUUUCCUUAUAUCUCAAAAAUCCAAACUCCAAAUGUCAUGAAACUUAUGUACAAAGUUUAUUAACAUGAUAUUACACAUUCCCUGAAAUUUUGAGCCAAAACCUUGUCAAAUUGCUCAAGAUAUAGCUCAAGAGACAACCACUAGUAAAUCGGUUUACUUACUACCCUUAGAUUGCAUGCGCUGACUUCAAAAUCCAAUAACUCCUUUAUGCCAACUUAGAAUCCAAUAAGCAGUAUGUGAAAAGUAUAGCCGCA
rnacentral:lncRNA from 1 species